rnacentral:rRNA from 1 species
AUUGAACGCUGGCGGCAUGCUUUACACAUGCAAGUCGAACGGUAACAGGCCGCAAGGUGCUGACGAGUGGCGAACGGGUGAGUAAUGCAUCGGAACGUGCCCAGUCGUGGGGGAUAACGCAGCGAAAGCUGCGCUAAUACCGCAUACGAUCUAUGGAUGAAAGCGGGGGACCGUAAGGCCUCGCGCGAUUGGAGCGGCCGAUGUCAGAUUAGGUAGUUGGUGGGGUAAAGGCUCACCAAGCCAACGAUCUGUAGCUGGUCUGAGAGGACGACCAGCCACACUGGGACUGAGACACGGCCCAGACUCCUACGGGAGGCAGCAGUGGGGAAUUUUGGACAAUGGGCGCGAGCCUGAUCCAGCAAUGCCGCGUGCAGGAAGAAGGCCUUCGGGUUGUAAACUGCUUUUGUACGGAACGAAACGGUUCGGGUUAAUACCCUGGGCUAAUGACGGUACCGUAAGAAUAAGCACCGGCUAACUACGUGCCAGCAGCCGCCGUAAUAC